rnacentral:misc_RNA from 1 species
GUUCCGUAGGUGAACCUGCGGAAGGAUCAUUACUGAGUUUUGAAUGAAGAUGAUCUUGUGUAUCUGUACAAGUGACCGCUACGCUCAAGCCUUCUUACACCUCCGCACCUAUCGCGCAACACUUGGUCCCAAGAUAGGCCACGAAGCGGAUCUACAGACUCUUCUUGAUAACAAAUAACAGUUUUAGAAAGUCUUAUUUGCUUUAUUCACACUUAAGUAAAUACAACUUUCAACAACGGAUCUAUUUCCUCACGUAUCGAUGAAGGAUGCAGCAGGUCU